CCGGAAUCAUUGGGCGUAAAGGGCGCGUAGGUGGCCCGGUCAGUCUUUGGUGAAAGCGCGGGGCUCAACCCUGCGUCGGCCAGGGAUACUGCCGCGGCUCGAGCACUGUAGAGGCAGGCGGAAUUCCGGGUGUAGCGGUGGAAUGCGUAGAGAUCCGGAAGAACACCGGUGGCGAAGGCGGCCUGCUGGGCAGUGGGGGCAACCCCUGGAAGCUGACACUGAGGCGCGACAGCGUGGGGAGCAAACAGG
rnacentral:rRNA from 1 species